rnacentral:rRNA from 1 species
AGCUGUCAGUGCUGCACUGGCUGUCGUCAGCUCGUGUCGUGAGAUGUCGGUUAAGUCCGCUAACGAGCGCAACCCUCGCUGUGUGUUACAAGUGUCACACGGAACUGCCGGUCAUAAACCGGAGGAAGGUGGGGAUGACGUCAAGUCAGCAUGGCCUUUAUAUCCUGGGCUACACACACGCUACAAUGGGAAGGGACAAUAGGUUGCGAAGCCGCGAGGCGGAGCCAAUCCAGCAAAACUUCCCUCAGUUCAGAUUGCAGGCUGCAACCCGCCUGCAUGAAGUUGGAGUUGCUAGUAAACGCAGGUCAGCCAUACUGCGUUGAAUACGUUCCCGGGGCUU